rnacentral:rRNA from 1 species
GACGAACGCUGGCGGCGUGCUUAACACAUGCAAGUCGAGCGGUAAGGCCCUUUCGGGGGUACACGAGCGGCGAACGGGUGAGUAACACGUGGGUGACCUGCCCUUAGCUCUGGGAUAAGCCUGGGAAACUGGGUCUAAUACCGGAUAUGACUCCACGGCGCAUGUUGUGGGGUGGAAAGCCUUGUGUGGCUAGAGAUGGGCCCGCGGCCUAUCAGCUUGUUGGUGGGGUNAUGGCCUACCAAGGCGACGACGGGUAGCCGGCCUGAGAGGGCGACCGGCCACACUGGGACUGAGACACGGCCCAGACUCCUACGGGAGGCAGCAGUGGGAAUCUUGCGCAAUGGGCGAAAGCCUGACGCAGCGACGCCGCGUGAGGGAUGACGGCCU